GGGACCUACCCAGACGUGGGGGAUAACGUAGGGAAACUUACGCUAAUACCGCAUACGUCCUACGGGAGAAAGCGGGGGAUCGCAAGACCUCGCGCGGUUGGAUGGACCGAUGUGCGAUUAGCUUGUUGGUGAGGUAACGGCUCACCAAGGCGACGAUCGCUAGCUGGUCUGAGAGGAUGAUCAGCCACACUGGGACUGAGACACGGCCCAGACUCCUACGGGAGGCAGCAGUGGGGAAUAUUGGACAAUGGGCGCAAGCCUGAUCCAGCAAUGCCGCGUGUGUGAAAGAAGGCCCUCGGGUUGUAAAAGCACUUUUAUCAGGAGCGAAAUCUGCAAGGUUAAUACCUUUGCAGUCUGACGGUACCUGAGGAAUAAGCACCGGCUAACUCCGUGCCAGCAGCCGC
rnacentral:rRNA from 1 species